AUGGUGGAAACAGUUGAAACGGCGACGAGGAAGCAGUUGAAACGGCGACGAAAUCGGGCGGAAUCGGGCAGCGACGGUGAGCCGUUGAAACAGCGAGGAACGGAGCGGAAUCGGGCGGCGACGGUGAGGAACGGAGCAGAAUCGGGCGGCGACGGUGAGGAACGGAGCGGAAUCGGGCGUCGCGGAAGUGGUGUUGGCGGCGACGGUGUUGGCAGCGUCGUGGAAAAUGGGUCGAUAAUGGCAGCGGCGACGGUCGUUGAAACGGCGAGGAAUGGGUCGAAAUGGAAAAUGUACAGUUUUCACCGCGACAGGGAGUUGACGACGCGUAGGAUUGAGCAUUAA